rnacentral:rRNA from 1 species
GCGUAGGUGAUAUGCCUGUUAGUGGGGGACAACAUCGUGAAAACGGUGCUAAUACCGCAUAAGCUUGGUGAAAUUGAAAAAACCAAGGAAAGGGGCUUCGGUCUCGCUGACAGAUUGGCCUGCGUAGCAUUAGCUUGUUGGUGGGGUAAUGGCCUACCAAGGCGACGAUCCCUAGCUGGUCUGAGAGGAUGAUCAGCCACACUGGAACUGAGACACGGUCCAGACUCCUACGGGAGGCAGCAGUGGGGAAUAUUGCACAAUGGGCGAAAGCCUGAUGCAGCCAUGCCGCGUGUGUGAAGA